rnacentral:rRNA from 1 species
CAUGCAGGCGGUCGUACGCGUUUCGGGUGACAGCGGGUGGCUUAACUACCCGAGUGUUCGAAAGACGGUACGACUUGAGGGCUCGAGAGGGACACGGAAUUCCGGGUGGAGUGGUGAAAUGCGUAGAGAUCCGGAGGAACACCGAAGGCGAAGGCAGUGUCCUGGCGAGUGACUGACGCUGAGGUGCGAAAGCUAGGGGGAGAGACG